AGUCAAUAGAUACCCAGGUAGUCCACGCCGUAAACGGUGGGUACUAGGUGUGGGUUUCCUUCCUUGGGAUCCGUGCCGUAGCUAAACGCAUUAAAGUACCCCGCCUGGGGAGUACGGCCGCAAGGCUAAAACUCAAAGGAAUUGACGGGGCCCGCACAAGCGGCGGAGCAUGUGGAUUAAUUCGAUGCAACGCGAAGAACCUUACCUGGGUUUGACAUGCACAGGACGACUGCAGAGAUGUGGUUUCCCUUGUGGCCUGUGUGCAGGUGGUGCAUGGCUGUCGUCAGCUCGUGUCGUGAGAUGUUGGGUUAAGUCCCGCAACGAGCGCAACCCUUGUCUCAUGUUGCCAGCACGUGAUGGUGGGGACUCGUGAGAGACUGCCGGGGUCAACUCGGAGGAAGGUGGGGAUGACGUCAAGUCAUCAUGCCCCUUAUGUCCAGGGCUUCACACAUGCUACAAUGGCCGGUACAAAGGGCUGCGAUGCCGUGAGGUGGAGCGAAUCCUUUCAAAGCCGGUCUCAGUUC
rnacentral:rRNA from 1 species